rnacentral:rRNA from 1 species
AGUGAACGCUGGCGGUAGGCCUAACACAUGCAAGUCGAACGGCAGCACAGAGGAGCUUGCUCCUUGGGUGGCGAGUGGCGGACGGGUGAGGAAUACAUCGGAAUCUACUCUGUCGUGGGGGAUAACGUAGGGAAACUUACGCUAAUACCGCAUACGACCUACGGGUGAAAGCAGGGGACCUUCGGGCCUUGCGCGAUUGAAUGAGCCGAUGUCGGAUUAGCUAGUUGGCGGGGUAAAGGCCCACCAAGGCGACGAUCCGUAGCUGGUCUGAGAGGAGGAUCAGCCAAACUGGAACUGGGACACGGUCCAGACUCCUACGGGAGGCAGCAGUGGGGAAUAUUGGACAAUGGGCGCAAGCCUGAUCCAGCCAUACCGCGUGGGUGAAGAAGGCCUUCGGGUUGUAAAGCCCUUUUGUUGGGAAAGAAAUCCAGCUGGCUAAUACCCGGUUGGGAUGACGGUACCCAAAGAAUAAGCACCGGCUAACUUCGUGCCAGCCGCCGCAGUAA